rnacentral:rRNA from 1 species
CGCUGGCGGCGCGCCUAACACAUGCAAGUCGAACGAGCGAGAGAGAGCUUGCUUUCUCAAGCGAGUGGCGAACGGGUGAGUAACGCGUGAGGAACCUGCCUCAAAGAGGGGGACAACAGUUGGAAACGACUGCUAAUACCGCAUAAGCCCACGACCCGGCAUCGGGUAGAGGGAAAAGGAGCAAUCCGCUUUGAGAUGGCCUCGCGUCCGAUUAGCUAGUUGGUGAGGUAACGGCCCACCAAGGCGACGAUCGGUAGCCGGACUGAGAGGUUGAACGGCCACAUUGGGACUGAGACACGGCCCAGACUCCUACGGGAGGCAGCAGUGGGGAAUAUUGCACAAUGGGGGAAACCCUGAUGCAGCGACGCCGCGUGGAGGAAGAAGGUCUUCGGAUUGUAAACUCCUGUUGUUGAGGAAGAUAAUGACGGUACUCAACAAGGAAGUGACGGCUAACUACGUGCCAGCAGCCGCGGUAAAACGUAGGUCACAAGCGUUGUCCGGAAUUACUGGGUGUAAAGGGAGCGCAGGCGGGAAGACAAGUUGGAAGUGAAAUCCAUGGGCUCAACCCAUGAACUGCUUUCAAAACUGUUUUUCUUGAGUAGUGCAGAGGCAGGCGGAAUUCCCGGUGUAGCGGUGGAAUGCGUAGAUAUCGGGAGGAACACCAGUGGCGAAGGCGGCCUACUGGGCACCAACUGACGCUGAGGCUCGAAAGUGUGGGUAGCAAACAGGAUUAGAUACCCUGGUAGUCCCCACUGUAAACGAUGAUUACUAAGUG